CACGUAGGGCGCGAGCGUUGUCCGGAUUUAUUGGGCGUAAAGAGCUCGUAGGCGGCUUGUCGCGUCGUCCGUGAAAACCCGCGGCUCAACCGUGUGGCUUGCAGUCGAUACGGGCAGGCUAGAAUUCGGUAGGGGAGACUGGAAUUCCUGGUGUAGCGGUGAAAUGCGCAGAUAUCAGGAGGAACACCGGUGGCGAAGGCGGGUCUCUGGGCCGAUAUUGACGCUGAGGAGCGAAAGCGUGGGGAGCGAACAGG
rnacentral:rRNA from 1 species